AGGACUACGGCUUGAAAAGCCAUUGUUGUUCUCAACUACGGGAAC
rnacentral:tRNA from 1 species